AGUGAACGCUGGCGGUAGGCCUAACACAUGCAAGUCGAACGGCAGCACAGUAAGAGCUUGCUCUUACGGGUGGCGAGUGGCGGACGGGUGAGGAAUACGUCGGAAUCUACUUUUUCGUGGGGGAUAACGUAGGGAAACUUACGCUAAUACCGCAUACGGCCUACGGUUGAAAGCAGGGGAUCUUCGGACCUUGCGCGAUUGAAUGAGCCGAUGUCGGAUUAGCUAGUUGGCGGGGUAAAGGCCCACCAAGGCGACGAUCCGUAGCUGGUCUGAGAGGAUGAUCAGCCACACUGGAACUGAGACACGGUCCAGACUCCUACGGGAGGCAGCAGUGGGGAAUAUUGGACAAUGGGCGCAAGCCUGGUCCAGCCAUACCGCGUGGGUGACGAAGGCCUUCGGGUUGUAAAGCCCUUUUGUUGGGAAAGAAAAGCAGCAGGUUAAUACCCCGCUGUUCUGACGGUACCCAAAGAAUAAGCACCGGCUAACUUCGUG
rnacentral:rRNA from 1 species